UACGUAGGGACCAAGCGUUGUUCGGAUUUACUGGGCGUAAAGGGCGCGUAGGCGGCAAUUCAAGUCACUUGUGAAAUCUCCGAGCUUAACUCGGAACGGUCAAGUGAUACUGCUUUGCUAGAGUGCAGAAGGGGCAACCGGAAUUCUUGGUGUAGCGGUGAAAUGCGCAGAUAUCGGGAGGAACACCUAUGGCGAAGGCAGCUCGCUGGGACGUUACUGACGCUGAGACGCGAAAGCGUGGGGAGCAAACAGG
rnacentral:rRNA from 1 species